GCCAGUGUGGUGUAGUUGUUUGGGCACUGGAUUAUGACUCUGGAGACCAGGGUUCGAAUCCCAGUGGAGCCA